UCCAUGUGGACUGGACUCCAAUCUGACGUCACCCCGACCAGGAUGUGUAAUUAGACAUUUUCGCCAGCAGAUGGCAGCCUUGUUUCCCAUCUAAGUUGUGUGUCUGGGAAAAAUUGUGGAGACGUCUGUAUAUCAUUACACCAGAAGGGGGCGAAAGUGAAAGUACCUCAGUCCUGAACUGCAGUUUCAAAGAACGAAGAACCUCACAGCUACGAGGAGGAAGAUCCCAUUCUGUGAAGGAAUCAUUCAGUCGGUGCAGAGGCCUGGAUAGUUGCUGCUGCCCCUGCUUUGGUUUCCGCAGGCCGUCCCAUUCCUGGAGGCCAGAGCUCAGAGGGGGCACCAGUGGCAUGACUGGCCUGACUUGGCUGCAGCGCGUCAGCGGCCUGGACCUGCAAAGCCAUCCCAUGCAUCCCGGUAAUGCGAUUUCUCCUGCGAGGCUCCGCUUUCCAGCAGGGGCGUCACACUGACAGUGGCAGCUGUGCCGCUUCCCGCCGCUAACUGGAUUUGCUGAAGACGCAGCAGAAAAACAGCUUCGGAGUCGCCGAUGUUCAUCGCUGACGUGCGGUCGCCUUCGCCGAUGCUCCUUUCAAGCUGCCUGCAGGAUAACGCAACAAAAUAGCAAGGAGCGAUGAAAAGCGACCGUUUUCAAAGGAUGACAAAUAACCUCUUAUUCUGAAAAAUAACCAUUCAAUUCAAAUUUUACCCAAGUUUGUAAAUUAAAAUUAUGGUGCAGAAA